rnacentral:tRNA from 1 species
GGAGAGGUGCCUGAGUUUGGUUUAAAGGGUCCGACUCGAAAUCGGAUGUCCGCCUAAUAAGUGGACCGGGAGUUCAAAUCUCCCCCUCUCCG